AGAGUUUGAUCCUGGCUCAGGACGAACGCUGGCGGCGUGCUUAACACAUGCAAGUCGAACGGACCUUAUUUGGAGGAAGCUUUCGGGUAGACACUGAAUAAGGUUAGUGGCGGACGGGUGAGUAACGCGUAGAUAAUCUACCUUAAAGACUGGGACAACAGUUGGAAACGACUGCUAAUACCGGAUAAGCUAAACGGAAGGCAUCUUCUGUUUAGGAAAGGAGGCCUCUUAACAAUGCUCCCGCUUUUAGAUGAGUCUGCGUCUGAUUAGCUAGUUGGUGGGGUAACGGCUUACCAAGGCGACGAUCAGUAGUCGGCCUGAGAGGGUGACCGGCCACAUUGGGACUGAGACACGGCCCAAACUCCUACGGGAGGCAGCAGUGGGGAAUCUUCCGCAAUGGGCGAAAGCCUGACGGAGCAACGCCGCGUGAUCGAAUGAAGGCCUUCGGGUUGUAAAGAUCUGUUGACAGGGACGAAUAAGCCAUGCGAAUAGUUUGGUGUAUGACGGUACCUGUUUAGAAAGCUCCGGCUAACUACGUGCCAGCAGCCGCGGUAAUACGUAGGGAGCAAGCGUUGUCCGGAAUUACUGGGCGUAAAGGGCGCGUAGGUGGGUGCUUAAGUCAGGUGUGAAAACUCUGGGCUCAACCUGGAGACUGCACUUGAAACUGGGUAUCUUGAGGGCAGGAGAGGAAAGUGGAAUUCCUAGUGUAGCGGUGAAAUGCGUAGAUAUUAGGAGGAACACCAGUGGCGAAGGCGACUUUCUGGACUGUACCUGACGCUGAGGCGCGAAAGCGUGGGUAGCGAACGGGAUUAGAUACCCCGGUAGUCCACGCCGUAAACGAUGAAUACUAGGUGUAGGAGGUAUCGACUCCUUCUGUGCCGCAGCAAACGCAAUAAGUAUUCCGCCUGGGGACUACGGUCGCAAGACUAAAACUCAAAGGAAUUGACGGGGACCCGCACAAGCGGUGGAGCAUGUGGUUUAAUUCGACGCAACGCGAAGAACCUUACCAGGGCUUGACAUCCCUCGCUAUCUGUGGAAACACGGAGUUCCGUAGCUUGCUACGGACGAGGAGACAGGUGGUGCAUGGUUGUCGUCAGCUCGUGUCGUGAGAUGUUGGGUUAAGUCCCGCAACGAGCGCAACCCCUACGUCCAGUUGCCAGCACGUUAAGGUGGGAACUCUGGAGGAACUGCCGGUGACAAACCGGAGGAAGGUGGGGAUGACGUCAAAUCAUCAUGCCCUUUAUGUUCUGGGCUACACACGUGCUACAAUGGCCGGUACAGAGGGCGGCGAAGCCGCGAGGUGGAGCGAAUCCCAAAAAGCCGGUCUAAGUUCGGAUUGCAGGCUGCAACCCGCCUGCAUGAAGUCGGAAUCGCUAGUAAUCGCGAGUCAGCAUAUCGCGGUGAAUACGUUCCCGGGUCUUGUACACACCGCCCGUCACACCAUGGGAGUUGGCAACACCCGAAGUCGAUGAGCUAACCGCAAGGAGGCAGUCGCCUAAGGUGGGGUUGAUAACUGGGGUGAAGU
rnacentral:rRNA from 1 species